rnacentral:pre_miRNA from 1 species
CACAGCAGAUGCCACAUGAACUUUAUACUUCUGUACUCGACAGCACUUUAAAGUCUACACUAGAAGUAUAAAGUUCAUGUGGCAUCUGCUGUGUG